rnacentral:rRNA from 1 species
GAUGAACGCUGGCGGCGUGCUUAACACAUGCAAGUCGAACGAUGAAGCUCAGCUUGCUGGGUGGAUUAGUGGCGAACGGGUGAGUAACACGUGAGUAACCUGCCCUUAACUCUGGGAUAAGCCUGGGAAACUAGGUCUAAUACCGGAUAGGAGCGCCUACCGCAUGGUGGGUGUUGGAAAGAUUUAUCGGUUUUGGAUGGACUCGCGGCCUUUCAGCUUGUUGGUGAGGUAAUGGCUCACCAAGGCGACGACGGGUAGCCGGCCUGAGAGGGUGACCGGCCACACUGGGACUGAGACACGGCCCAGACUCCUACGGGAGGCAGCAGUGGGGAAUAUUGCACAAUGGGCGAAAGCCUGAUGCAGCGACGCCGCGUGAGGGAUGACGGCCUUCGGGUUGUAAACCUCUUUCAGUAGGGAAGAAGCGAAAGUGACGGUACCUGCAGAAGAAGCACCGGCUAACUACGUG